CUCUCGCCGCCGCGCUGCUGUAUAUGAGUCGCGCGGGUCGUCACACAGCGCACAAGGCUGGUGGGUCUGGGAUCCGAGCGUCCCUGAAGGUCAUCCAGCAUUACUUUCACGGAGGACAAAGACCGGAGAUGAAAAGCUUAUGCUGCAGUGAAACGGGCGAUGACGGUGGCCGCUUCACGUCGCUGAAAGAAAGAGAAAGGGGUAAUGUUGGUGCGCGCUGCUGGUUUUGUGCGCAAGUGCUCCAUCUAACUCAAAUAAAGGAGCCUUUCCAACUUUUAAAGGACCACUUUUUGCCUUUAAUAAAGGCCGGAUGGCUGUAGCCAUUAAGCAUAUGGUGCUAAGGCGCUGAUCCUUUGUCCCAAAGAAGCUCUUGAGUUACUCGGGUUCUUUAGACAAAGUAAAAUUGCAGAUAAUUUCAGUUCAUGCGUCAAGCGGCACCAGUGCGCACGGACAUAUUUCUCCAAAAAGGAGCGGCGCGUGUAAAAUGUAUAUAAAUAUAAAUAUUAGGUUAGUAAACAUAAACUAAUAUAAUCUCUGUGACAGUCUCAGAUUUAAAUAUCAGUCAAAUCAGUUGUAUUCGCUGCACUGGAAUCGUACUCAAAUGCGUAAUUAUCGAAGAACACGUACAUUAACUGAGGUUUCAGCCAUGUGUCUUUGUUAAACUAAAUCUAUGUUAAUUCAUGCGUCUUUUCACCUUACAAGUCCGUCUUUCUGUCAGAUGUAAACACGUUCGAAGUUUUGUUUUGAACGUUUUUUCUUCCGGCUCCGUGCGCCCUGCGUGCGUAACGGACCAUAGAAAGUCUGGCGAAUAGGCGGUGCCUCUGUUGCACACGGUGGUGGGAGCAGGCAUAAAGCAGGAUAACGCAGUGAAACCACAUGACAGCUUAAAGACAAAGAUGCAAAGACGAUCUUCUCUAAACAGAGUGAUGGAACCAAAAAUCAAAUAGGACAUGUUUAUCCACCUGUUGAAAGCCCCUUGUCACUAUAUAGACUCUGUGUAAGUGAUAUAUAGACUCUGUCACUGAGUUUGGAACCUCAAGUAAUUAUGUGUCUGCAUGUGCGUGUGUAUAUGAGGUAGAAAAAAAGAGAAAAGACACCGAACCCCCGAUCAAUAGAACUUUUAUAUGUCGGUCGUGAUGUCAGAGUUGUUUUCUUAUUAUUUGAUUCCAAAGUAAAAGACGCCUUUAUAGGCGAUGCAUUGACAUUUAAUUUUAUUGAUUUUUUUCCUUUGUUGGUCCUUGGAGCAAAUACAUCCUGUGACCUGUGCUGCCUCUACGGGCAAGCUCAGAAAUGGCAAUUUCCAACAAAGAAAUAACAAGAAGUUGAAAAGAUGAAGUAAAAAACAUUAACAAAACUACAAAAUUCAUUAACACGCAUAGCUAUACUAUUCAAAUGUUGCCUCUUAAUUUAAUUUAACUGGACACAAAAAAUAAAAACUCACUUUUCUUUUAAAAUAAAUGUUCUUCCUGAUGCAGAUUGACUGUUUUUGAAUUCAAACCUAAAACCUGUUUGUCUUCAGAAUCAGAAUUACUUUAUUGACCCCACACGUGGGAAAUUUGUGUGCUACAGUAGCAAUGUAAUUUUGAGAGAAAAUAUAAUAGAAGAACAAAGUAAUUAUAGAAAAAAAUGUACUACAAAUAAAGUGAUAUAAGGUGAAUAUAUUUACAAAUUGUGCAGGCAGAAAUGUGCAAAAGUUAUCUGUUACACUGUUUGUUAUUGCAAAGUGCAAUUGUGUUGGGCAGGAACUUACUUCCACUAUGCCACAAUGUUUAAUCGAUUUCUACUUAGGGUUCAAAUGUCAUAGCCCAAUCUGAUAAAAGGCAUUGGAGAUAAACAAUCAAUUUAGUAAGGUUUUCAGGAACAAAAUACAGCUAAGGUUCAAAAACCAAACAACUGCUGUCAUUUUGAAAUAAUUACUCAGAAAGAUAUAUUUCUAUCACCCCAUCACUUAUAGCACUCUUUUCAAGGAGGUAUACAGUUCUUCCCUUUCACCUUCCCCAGAUGCCUCUUAAUUGAAAUAUUGUAAAUAUUUCCAACUUAAUAAUGGAAAGAAGAGAACGAAAAAUGUUGUGCUUGUAAGUCACAGCCCAUGGUUCUCAGUGUGAAGUUUAUUUUAAUUUCAGUGAGUUAUUAUAAACAAAGAAUUCAAAUAUACCUUAAUUCUUUUGUUCAAAUUAACUCAAGUUUAAAAUUAUCUUUAGACUAAUUUGCCACUUUGCCAUUCUCUCCUCUUAAUAAAUACUUUUUUCAGCUCUGUUCACUGUUAAAAAUGUUUAUUUUAAAGAAUUUCUGCAUUUUCUGGCACGAUAGAUGUUGCUGCAACAUGUGUGUGCACAGGCGCGCGCAUGCUCUGGCCUGGGUGCCUGUGCAGUGAAGCCAUCUGGCCGCCUUCUGCCCCCUGAAAACCCUCCUGGUGAACGGAACACGACGGGCUGACCUGAAGGACGGGAGAUGCGCCUUUGAAUGAAGUACCCACAAAGACGUCUCGCUAUGCACAAUGUCGACGCUGAAAGCGGGGUGGAUGUGAGAGGCACGGAGCACAGCUUUUGCAUGCCUCAUAAUAAAAUCUUACAGUCUUUUCACGCGGGGCCCCUUUGGAAAUGGAAGUGCAGCAGAUUUCAGAGCGACGUGCUGCGCAGCAGCCCGCGCUGAGAGGCGCAGGUAGCGCCUUUGCGCAUUUAUUAUGGAGAGACACAGAUGAGGAAACGCUUCACCUCAGUGCUCCACCCACAUGCCGACAAAACAACCUUCUCCAAACUUUUUAAAUCUUUGAGAAACUUGACAAAAUGUGAUAAAUUACGCAUAUGCAAAUGUUUUGUCACGGCCGUUUGGACGCGCGUCUCCAUCCAUCUCCCACAUUCUGCGAGGCUGAUCCCCGUCGUGCGCGAGCGGGCAGUCAACCCGUGAGGACCUGGGGGCCUUUUGUUCAACCAACCCUAACUUCAGCCUCCGGGGAAGGGGUUUCUCUCCCAGCCCAGAGGCUGCGACCCCCGCCCCCUCCCUCUCAAUCCGCAUCUCCGUCAGUUGCCAGGCUUCAGAGGUGUAAAAGCAUGCAUCAUUUUUCACCAACCCUCCGUUCUGAUUUCCACAAAAGCUUUCUAACCAUGGAACAGCCUCUCCGCUUGUUCGCUGGCUUGAACUUCACUGACGUCCGACUGCUGCCUUUUCGCCGCCUGAACGCCACGCAGCGGGGAUGGAUUUGCAAGACAAAUGCAGCUGUGUGUGCGAGAGAAAGUCAAGUGGCACAAAAAGGCCACUCCAGUCUGAGACUUUGUAUUAUGCACACGUCAAAUCAAUCAAAAACAAAGGCCCACAUGCAGAAAAUACUUUUAUGAGUUUACGGUGCUGAAACGAAGGGAAAUUUCUAUACAAACAAAGAUUUUGAAAAACUAACUGUUACCCACCUCUUUUACAAGUUUAUUUUAUUUAUUUUUUUAGAGAAAAAAAGCUCAAAUUACUCACAGAAAAAAUAAUGUGGCCGUGCUGAAAUCAUUCAACGGGUCUGCCAAUAAGCACAGAUCCCCUACAACCUGAAGAUGACCGGUCAGCUCAAGCGUUAGUGCUGAUCAGAGUUUUGUGUUAAUAAACCUGUAUAUAAAAUUAUUGCAAACGUGUAUUACAAUAUAAUAUAAAUAAACCUACGGAGAAUCAGC